ACCAUCCCUAGAGUCAAUUUAGAGUCUAAUUCAUUGUUUUAAGCUGUUUUGAGUCUUUUAAAGCUGUUUUGAGUCUUUUAAACUAGUUUUGAGUCUUUUUAGUUUGUAUUGCAUCUUUUGAGUCUAGUUUGGUGUUUUAAACUUAAUUUUAUGUUUUUAAGUCAGUUUAGAGGUUAUUAGCAAGCCCUCAUAAUCCCCGGUCCAGAACGAUCCCUACUUACAUUCUUUACUACAAUUGAUACAAAAGGGUUUAAUUUAUGUGUUAAGUAAUUUUCGCAUCAUGUAUCACCAGGGAUCUAUGAAUCAAUUUCAUUACUAUUCUUUAGCCAUCAUUAUUAAACCUUUUGAGAUUGGAAAUUAGAAAUAGUU
rnacentral:lncRNA from 1 species